rnacentral:rRNA from 1 species
AGAGUUGAUCAUGGCUCAGGACGAACGCUGGCGGCGUGCUUAACACAUGCAAGUCGAGCGAUGAAGCUUCUCGGAAGUGGAUUAGCGGCGGACGGGUGAGUAACACGUGGGUAACCUGCCUCAUAGAGGGGAAUAGCCUUCCGAAAGGAAGAUUAAUACCGCAUAAGAUUGUAAUAUCGCAUGAUAUAGCAAUUAAAGGAGUAAUCCGCUAUGAGAUGGACCCGCGUCGCAUUAGCUAGUUGGUGAGGUAACGGCUCACCAAGGCGACGAUGCGUAGCCGACCUGAGAGGGUGAUCGGCCACAUUGGGACUGAGACACGGCCCAGACUCCUACGGGAGGCAGCAGUGGGGAAUAUUGCACAAUGGGGGAAACCCUGAUGCAAGCAACGCCGCGUGAGUGAUGACGGCCUUCGGGUUGUAAAGCUCUGUCUUCAGGGACGAUAAUGACGGUACCUGAGGAGGAAGCCACGGCUAACUACGUGCCAGCCGCUGC